UCCGUCUUGUUCAUUUCUGCCAGAUAACAAAGAUUAAUCAUAUCCCGGAUUUCACUCUCUUUCCAUAAAAAACGGUGAUUCGAAUUGAUUACAAUACAUUAUAUUUACGGAUUCGUGGUUCAGAAUCUGAGUUUUCAUUGAACAUGAACGAUAAAGAGAAAACGGUGGAGCCGAUUCGACGGAGAUUGAUUGUUCGGCGAACUAUGCUGAUGACCUGGAUGAAACGCUGGUUUUUGGGUUUCUCGGGUCCUGCAGUAAGUGUUUCUCUUCUUGAUGAAAGAUUGAAUUUUUUUUCUUUUUUCUUUUAUCAAUUGAUAGAUUUUUUUGCAUUUUUGAAUUGUUAAUUCGAAAGAUGUGAAGGUGAUAGAAUGUGAUGAUAAGGAAGAAGAAGAAGAGGAAUGGUUGCCUCCUCCAUCAAAGGAUUGGUGCCUAUAUAUUACGAUCACACAUAUUUUUAUUUUCAUAUGCUAUCGCAGAUUGAACUUUCUAAUUCGUGAAACUACAAACACUUAUGCAAAAUCGAAGCCCUUGCUGGACUUCCAGAAACCCAAGUUUUGGCAUGGUUUUAGCUGUGAAUUGAAUAUGGAUGCUAGAAAUGCAAGGGGAAAUGUGAAUGAUCGCAAAAAGCAAAAAAAAUGUCAGGCAAACAUGGAGAGCAGUGUCUUCUCAGCCCAAUUUCUCUGAGGAAACUGUCAGUUGCUCAUCAUCCGAACCAGCAAAAAAAUGAACUAGGUUGUUCAUUUAGAUGUUAUCAUUGUAUUGGGUAAUGAAGUGGGUACAGACCUGGUUUGGGAAUGCAGCUUUAAUUGACAGUCAUGGCUAAUGAACUGGGUACAGACUUUGUUGUGUCGAUUUUUUCAUUCUUUGUAGUUGUUUUAUGUUGAUUGGUUCGAUAUUACAACGACGCCAUCCAAAAGGGAUUUUCCCAUCUUGUUUUAUGCAACUACAAGUUUUUGGUUUGUAAUAGUUUAUCAAGAUGCUUUUGUUUUAGCAAGUUUAUUUGGUCUGCUUGUUGCAGUUUCAAACACAUUGUUUUAAUGAAAUUGUGUUCGAGUUUUAUAUGGAUAA